rnacentral:rRNA from 1 species
UACGGGGGGGGCAAGCGUUGUUCGGAAUUACUGGGCGUAAAGCGCACGUAGGCGGACUUUCAAGUCAGGGGUGAAAUCCCGGGGCUCAACCUCGGAAUUGCCUUUGAUACUGUAGGUCUCGAGUCCGGAAGAGGUGGGUGGAAUUCCUAGUGUAGAGGUGAAAUUCGUAGAUAUUAGGAAGAACACCGGUGGCGAAGGCGGCCCACUGGUCCGGUACUGACGCUGAGGUGCGAAAGCGUGGGGAGCAAACAGG